GAAAAAUCGAAAUCAAAGGUGUAGUCAAGUGUGCAAGUCAGAAAAUCCUGUGAAGAGAUUCCAGUGGAGGCAAAAUAUCAGCUAGUCCAUCCACUUCUGCUUCACCAAAAAUCAGAAAUUGCCGAUUGACUCUGUUCUGCAGAAGGUGUUCAACCGGGGGUAUAGAGUUACCAAUGCUGGAGAAAAAUGACUUCAGGUAUGGUUUCAUUGCUCUCACAUGACUAAGGUCAAAAUGGUCUUCUGCUGAAGAAAAGUGUUGCUUUUAUUGUACUCUUUUUCUUCUUUUAAUUUUUUAGAUAAAUACACAAGCUAUUCUAUGAUUCUCCUGUCUAGCAGUGGAAAGAAAUUAUCUCAACACAUUUUCAUCACUUUUCUGAAUCCUUUCUGACUAGAAGUAGGAAGAGUUUAUUCUUUGGAAUAUCUGGAGCUUAUCUGUGUCUUAAACAUGCAUUGCAUUAAAUCAAUGCAAUUUUGAGUGACUAUCAUUUGGGUUAAUUGUACAGAGCUCUAAUUGCCAUGAAUUAAGGUAGAAUAAAGACAACCCUAGUGAUAGCCA
rnacentral:lncRNA from 12 species